rnacentral:misc_RNA from 1 species
UUCACAAGAACAAUAUGAAUCUCAUAAUUGAUUGUAAAAGAAUUGGAUUUAUCAGAGUGUGAGAAGAUUUGAUGCAUACAUAUUGUGUACAACAACGGGGAAGAACUCACAUCCAGGCUUUGAUUAUCAAUCAUCAUAUGCUCUUAUCAAUUUUCAAAUGGAUAAGGCAUUCACAAAAACCGCAUAACCAUAUAAAUUUCAUUCUAAUCACAUGGUGAGAACAGUGGCCUGAUAAGAAGCUAUUUCCUUCUCCAUAGCAAGCCCCACUUGGCAUGAAUUCUCCCUCCUCCAAAUUAGAUGAUACAACAACAUAGCCUCAAUUACAUUAGUGAGCUUCAUUAUUCCCUUUCAAAUCUGAACCACUUCCAAUUUGCAUACAUAGUUGCUUCACUAUCAAAAGGAAAGGCAUCGCUUAGAGGGGUUUCUAACUUUCGAGUGUUUAAAACAGCAGGUAGCUUUUGCCUGUACUUUUUCGCCAUUUCUUCUGCCUCAGCAAACACUCUCUGGGCAAAGAAUAUAAAAUAUUUUCAAUGGAACCAUAUGAAACUCGCCAAAUGAGAAAGAAAGACAAUUUAGGCAAACAAUUGCACCUCUUUGUUUGAUAUGAAUAGGCCUGGUUCACUUUCAAGGUCAGCAAUACUGCAUGCCAAAUAAGUAAAAGUUAUCAUUAGCAGCCUAUUGGUUCCUCACUUGGCAAUUAAAUUUACACGUGACAAUAUUAGUAUUUUUCAUGUUUUAUUUAUGCAAGCUAAGCAAUGUUUGAAUGUUGUGUCAAAGAAUUUCACCAGUUAAAAUUCCAUCUAAUUCCUCUCCAACUUUCUUACAAGAGAAAAAGCUAAGCAUACUAAACUUCUUUUUCUUUGCAAAUGCACUCACACACGUGUGCAAUCAAUUAAUCCCAACAUUGUAUAUGAACAGAAAGAUAAACAGUGUGAUUGGAAACCUAAAAAAAAAAAAAAAGUACAACUCAAUUGUAUAUAAUCAAUUCAUCUCUGUCACAUUAGACAAAUUAUAUAGGAUCAAUUUAAUGUUUUUUUCCUAGCCUUUUAUCAUAUAUACACAUUACACCAAUAUAGAAAAGAACAGAUUUAGAGUGUCGCAUAUGUUGAUCUAUCUUGAGAGUCCCCUUCUAGAUCAGCAAAUGCUAUCGUAUAGGAUUGAAUUGUAAAGAAGUUUGAGACUGAUAAUGAGCACAGGAUCAACUUAAAAAAAGAAAGCAAUCGAGUCCUCAAUUACCUAAGUGAAAUUUUAUCAGGAAACAUUGACUUCACAACCAGCGCUUUAACCUUCUCAUCAACUUUAAGUAAGUCAUGGACAGCAGUAACCCGGCUUCGAGAGAUAUUUGAAAUAUGUAGCAACCCACUUCUGUUAGUUUCACCAAUUCUUACUUGGGCUCCAUAUGAAAAAAUUUUCUUAACAGUUCCCUCCAGCAGUGUUCCCUCCUGAAGGUUUAACAUUUCCCAAGCUUCCCUUUCACUAAGUAUCAGAUCAUUGUUAGUCUCAUUUAUUCUUGUGAUCAGUACAUAUAUUCGGCGUCCCACCUACGCCAUCAAGAAACUGAUAAUUCUUAGAGCAAAAGAAGAAGAAGAAAGGAAUCCACAAGAAGCAUAAAAUCAAUGCAAGAUAAUAAAACACAUAAUAGACAAAUAAAAACCAUAAAGAAGAAAAUCUAUAGACUAUUGAUUAUGAGAUGUCAGGGCCUAGCCUUUACUCUCUCACUUGUCAAACAUACAGCACAAAGUUAGUUGACAAGUUCACUCUAGAGUACAAUACAUUCAGGUAUACAAGCAAUGACUUUACCUACGAACUUAGAAUUUAAGUUCUAAAUGGAAAAUCCAUAAAACGGUGCUUUAAAGCAACUAUUAUGAUUAGAUACAGACCACUGUAUCUAUUAACAGAAGACACAGACAUGGCGCAUAAAAUGGUAGAUAUGUGCAAGGAAUACUCUCAAUAGAAAAUGUGAUUUUGCUAAAGUAGCAAAAAUUGCAAGAAAGGGUAGCCAAAGAGAAUCUAAUGACAUAGAGAAUCUAAUUAAGGUAAUGAGAGAAGACAUGAGACAAUUGGAAUGUCACACCAUUGCCUAGUAUUGGAUAAUUUACUAGCUUAGGUGCCUCCAGAAAAUCCUAGCAAAAAGAUUCUAAGGACAUCUAGAAAGCACCUUACCCAUUGACAUAUAUGCCGCAAAUUUACCAAGUGACAUAUACGCCGCAAAGUAAUUGAAACCAAAUUGUGCCUUCAUCAAUCAGUUGCAAUGAUCAAACAUAUGAAGCUUCUCCCUACUUGAAGUGAUUUUUUAUUUAUUAAGUUCCAAGGAAUAUAACAAAUGCAAGUCCAGAAGCAAAACGCUUUCAAAAAUUUUUUAGGUUAUUAUCCAGGCUUGAGAUUUCUAUAAUUCAUGCAGGAUCGCAACAACUAACAAAUCACAAAAAGUGUUAUAUAUUCAUACUUGGAAACAAAAAUAUUUACUAAGAAGAUGAAAAUAGUAAUUUUUUAAAGAAAUGCAAUUUACAUUUUCUUUCAACUCCUUGAAGUUGUUCACUCUAUUCAUCAACUCAGCCUUUGGGAGGAAAGCCCGUAAUCCCUCAAUUCUAGUAAGCAAGCCCCCAGUAUUCCACUCUGUGAUUUUAACCUCAAUAGGUUCAUUCAAUUCUUUUACCUGCCUCACUCGAUGCCAAGCUAUCCGCCGGAAUAAUCUUCUAGUUGAAAGCAAUGGCCGUCCACUGAGCGUCCUCCCAAGGACUUCUGCAAAAAGUAUGGUUCCAGUCUCUACCACCGGCCUCCCUGGACCUGCUCCCCCACUCACCGCAGCUUCAUCCUUAACAAUUCCCAUCUUCCCUCUCACCAUAAACCUCUCAGAAUCCUUAUCCAUAUCACACAACAAAUAUUCCAUCUCUUUGUCAUACAGAGGCAGCACCUCCUUUGUCAACAUCGUACCCAACAAAUCUGCCCCAACAUUCACAUCAAGCUUAUUCUCAUUUCCUGAAACAACGACACCUACUACGAAAUCACCUGGUUUUGGCUCAUAGUAGUCCACAUUAACCUUCUUAGCUUCCUUAUCUUUAUUAUUCAAACUAGACUUCCCCUCUACAACACUCGAGUCAUCUUCCUCUUCGUAUACUUCUUCUAAUGAAUCUCUAGGCUUAAAGAGCUUCAAAAAAGGGGCUAAGGCCUCUCCUUUAUUAUCUGUUUUAGAUUCUUUAUCAACUUCUAAACCUAUCCCAUUAUUUGUAGCUACCGGAGAUGGCUUAUUUAGCAAUUCCAGCUCUUCAUUCUCAUGAGUUCUAUGGUUUUGCGCCUUCUCAGGCAACUGGGUACUUGAAAAAUCAUCAAAAGCAUCAUCUUGACGGCAAAAUGAGAUGUGGGUACUUCUCCAAGGUGGAAUAUUCUUGGAGAAUGGCAAGGUUUUGAGUGACCCAAUAUUAGGAAAUAAGUGAAAACUAGAGGAUUUUAGGCAUUUGUUAUGGAUAGAAACGUUGUACGUGAGAAGGCAAUUGUUAAUACUAAGCGGUAACGAAGAGUUGAAGAGAGGCAGAGACUUACAGGGUUGAAGAAGGGUUUGCAUCUUUGGUUAGCCUGGACCUCAUGAGCUAGCUCUCCAUAUUUCAAUUUGGUGCUAGAUUUUUUCCCGCACGUUGGGAUGUCGUUGAUCCUCAAAUUCACUUCUUCGAUUUUAUCCUUUCCUCUGUUCUAUCGUGUUCG